rnacentral:lncRNA from 1 species
AUGGGAAGUAGACGAACAACUAGGAGGAGAGACAGAAUGGGUAGUAGACGAACAACUAGGAGGAGAGACAGAAUGGGAAGUAGACGAACAACUAGGAGGAGAGACAGAAUGGGAAGUAGACGAACAACUAGGAGGAGAGACAGAAUGGGAAGUAGACGAACAACUAGGAGGAGAGACAGAAUGGGAAGUAGACGAACAACUAGGAGGAGAGACAGAAUGGGAAGUAGACGAACAACUAGGAGGAGAGACAGAAUGGGAAGUAGACGAACAACUAGGAGGAGAGACAGAAUGGGAAGUAGACGAACAACUAGGAGGAGAGACAGAAUGGGAAGUAGACGAACAACUAGGAGGAGAGACAGAAUGGGAGGUAGACGAACAACUAGGAGGAGAGACAGAAUGGGGGUAGACGAACAACUAGGAGGAGAGACAGAAUGGGAAGUAGACGAACAACUAGGAGGAGAGACAGAAUGGGUAGUAGACGAACAACUAGGAGGAGAGACAGAAUGGGAGGUAGACGAACAACUAGGAGGAGAGACAGAAUGGGAAGUAGACGAACAACUAGGAGGAGAGACAGAAUGGGAAGUAGACGAACAACUAGGAGGAGAGACAGAAUGGGAAGUAGACGAACAACUAGGAGGAGAGACAGAAUGGGAGGUAGACGAACAACUAGGAGGAGAGACAGAAUGGGUAGUAGAUGAACAACUAAGAGGAGAGACAGAAUGGGAAGUAGAUGAACAACUAGGAGGAGAGACAGAAUGGGUAGUAGACGAACAACUAGGAGGAGAGACAGAAUGGGAAGUAGACGAACAACUAGGAGAGACAGAAUGGGAGGUAGACGAACAACUAGGAAGAGAGACAGAAUGGGAAGUAGACGAACAACUAGGAGGAGAGACAGAAUGGGAAGUAGACAAACAACUAGGAGGAGAGACAGAAUGGGAAGUUGACGAACAACUAGGAGGAGAGACAGAAUGGGAAGUAGACGAACAACUAGGAGGAGAGACAGAAUGGGAAGUAGACGAACAACUAGGAGGAGAGACAGAAUGGGAAGUAGACAAACAACUAGGAGGAGAGACAGAAUGGGAAGUAGAUGAACAACUAGGAGGAGAGACAGAAUGGGAAGUAGACAAACAACUAGGAGGAGAGACAGAAUGGGAGUAG